rnacentral:rRNA from 1 species
GGUUAAGCGACUAAGCGUACACGGUGGAUGCCCUGGCAGUCAGAGGCGAUGAAGGGCGUGCUAAUCUGCGAUAAGCGCCGGUAAGGUGAUAUGAACCGUUAUAACCGGCGAUACCCGAAUGGGGAAACCCAGUGUGACUCGUCACACUAUCAUUAACUGAAUCCAUAGGUUAAUGAGGCGAACCGGGGGAACUGAAACAUCUAAGUACCCCGAGGAAAAGAAAUCAACCGAGAUUCCCCCAGUAGCGGCGAGCGAACGGGGAGGAGCCCAGAGCCUGAAUCAGCAUGUGUGUUAGUGGAAGCGUCUGGAAAGGCGCGCGAUACAGGGUGACAGCCCCGUACACAAAAGCGCAUGUGCUGUGAGCUCGAUGAGUAGGGCGGGACACGUGGUAUCCUGUCUGAAUAUGGGGGGACCAUCCUCCAAGGCUAAAUACUCCUGACUGACCGAUAGUGAACCAGUACCGUGAGGGAAAGGCGAAAAGAACCCCGGCGAGGGGAGUGAAAAAGAACCUGAAACCGUGUACGUACAAGCAGUGGGAGCACCCUUUGGGGUGUGACUGCG